rnacentral:rRNA from 1 species
UGGUUGUCGUCAGCUCGUGUCGUGAGAUGUUGGGUUAAGUCCCGCAACGAGCGCAACCCUAUCUUAGUAGCCAGCAGGUUCGGCCUGGGCACUCUAGAGAGACUGCCAGGGAUAACCUGGAGGAAGGCGGGGAUGACGUCAAAUCAUCAUGCCCCUUAUGAUCUGGGCUACACACGUGCUACAAUGGUGACUACAAAGGGAAGCGAAGCAGUGAUGUGGAGCAAAUCCCAAAAAGGUCAUCUCAGUUCGGAUUGUAGUCUGCAACUCGACUACAUGAAGCUGGAAUCGCUAGUAAUCGCGAAUCAGAAUGUCGUGGUGAAUACGUUCCCGGGUCUUGUACACACCGCCCGUCACACCAUGGGAGUUGGAUAUGCCCGAAGUCAGUGACCCAACCGUAAGGAGGGAGCUGCCGAAGGUGGAGCCGAUGACUGGGGUGAAGUCGUAACAAGGUAGCCGUAUCGGAAGGUGCGGCUGGAUCACCUCCUUUAU